rnacentral:rRNA from 1 species
AUUGAACGCUGGCGGCAUGCCUUACACAUGCAAGUCGAACGGCAGCACGGGUGCUUGCACCUGGUGGCGAGUGGCGAACGGGUGAGUAAUACAUCGGAACGUACCUUAUCGUGGGGGAUAACGCAGCGAAAGCUGUGCUAAUACCGCAUACGCCCUGAGGGGGAAAGCGGGGGAUCGCAAGACCUCGCGCGAUUAGAGCGGCCGAUGCCUGAUUAGCUUGUUGGUGGGGUAAAAGCCCACCAAGGCGACGAUCAGUAGCUGGUCUGAGAGGACGAGCAGCCACACUGGGACUGAGACACGGCCCAGACUCCGACGGGAGGCAGCAGUGGGGAAUUUUGGACAAUGGGGGCAACCCUGAUCCAGCAAUGCCGCGUGAGUGAAGAAGGCCUUCGGGUUGUAAAGCUCUUUUGUCAGGGAAGAAACACCGGCUCUAACACAGUCCGGGAACGACGGUACCUGAAGAAUAAGCACCGGCUAACUACGUGCCAGCCGCCGCCGUAA